rnacentral:rRNA from 1 species
AUUGGGUUUAAAGGGUCCGCAGGCGGACGUAUAAGUCAGUGGUGAAAUCCUGCAGCUUAACUGCAGAACUGCCAUUGAUACUGUACGUCUUGAAUUCGGUCGAAGUGGGCGGAAUGUGUAGUGUAGCGGUGAAAUGCAUAGAUAUUACACAGAACACCGAUAGCGAAGGCAGCUCACUAGGCCUGGAUUGACGCUCAGGGACGAAAGCGUGGGGAUCAAACAGGAUUAGAUACCCUGGUAGUCCACGCUGUAAACGAUGAUUACUCGUUUUCGGCGAUAUACAGUCGGAGACUAAGCGAAAGUGAUAAGUAAUCCACCUGGGGAGUACGAUCGCAAGGUUGAAACUCAAAGGAAUUGACGGGGGCCCGCACAAGCGGUGGAGCAUGUGGUUUAAUUCGAUGAUACGCGAGGAACCUUACCAGGGCUUAAAUGCAGAGCGAAUAGUUUGGAAACAGGCUAGCCUUCGGGCGAUCUGCAAGGUGCUGCAUGGCU